rnacentral:lncRNA from 1 species
GCCUCUGGGGAAGGUAAAGAGCGGGAGUCACUUUCUGUCCUGCGUGCUUGGGAUCUCUGGGCCACGGGGCUUACUUAGCAUUAUCAAAACAGAGUCCAAUUUCCCAGCUGACACCCUAGCUGUCUUCUUAUCUGGUAACCUAAGGGUGCUGCCAUCCCGUUCCCCUCUUCAUCGCCCCCACCACCACCCCCAACCGCUGCCCAGCAGUCUGGGCAGGAGGCUCAGACCUGCCAGGCUCAGAUAUUGGACCAGGUGUUUUUCAGACUAAACACUCCUCCGCUGUCUCGGGAAACGUCUUACUGGUGUAUCUCCCAACCCUCGAAGGUAAAGAGGAUGAAAUCCUGGCCGGUUCGGAAAUGUCCCAGGACCGCCCCGCACAGUUUAAAAGGCAGUUAAUUCCGAAGGUUUCAUGGUGCAGGAGGAUCCAGAGCCCUAUAACGAUGCUCUGGAAACCCAGUAGUCCAUCCACAGUGUUGCGCUAGGGCACAUGAGCCUUCCCAGUUCUGUCACCCGUGUCCCUCUUAGGCCAGAACACUGUCCCUACUAGGACCUGGUCUCCGAACUCCGUUCAGGUCUGUGGGGCCUGCUAGAGCCCAAGAAUUCUCAUCCACUCGCACCCCAACUCACUCUUCUCGGCCUGACCUUGACCCACACAGAACAGCACCGGAGUGCACCCGGCUGGGCUUGGAAACCCAAGGUUUGUCGUUCCUAUGGCAGAGACUAGAGACAGGGUCAUCCUGAAGUACCAGGCGGGCGCUUCACUCCGGCCUGGUCUCCACGCCCGCUCCUACCCCGGGCCUAUGCCUCUGGGCGGCGGGCCGUGCGCGACGGGAUGCUGAGUGUCUGUGCGCGGGGCCGCCUAUAUUUACACCCAAAACAAAAUAAUUACACUCUUGUCGGAGGGAGAAAGCCAGUGAUUAGGCGCAGGCUCUUUGCGGCAAAGCAGUUUCUCAGUGGUACACCAGUAUAAUUUUUCACGGCUGGCUGAAAUCAAAGAGGGGAAGUAAUGAAUCCGGAGAGCAAUUUAAAUUUACAAUUUGUAACGCCGCCGCCGCUGCCGCGCAGACCCGGCCGAGAGCGCAGCUCCCAGGCGCUCGCUGCGUUUGUUUAAUGUUAAAGCUUCGCUGGCUCUUGGUGGGGGAGUUGGGGGGGGGGAUGAGGAUACGUGAUGGGGGGGGGGGUAAAUGAUCAAGGUCGGGAGAAGACCGGCUGCUGCGACACCUGAGAUGCUUCCGGGAGAAAAGGGCAGGGGCAAAGCUCCUGGAUUUCCCCUUCCCCUUCCCCACCCCCGCCCCCGCCCCGCGCGCGCGCUGUUGGAGCCUCCAGUCUGCCCCUUCUC